rnacentral:lncRNA from 1 species
CCCGCACAGAGCUCUGCACCGCAGCUGCAGAUUGUGAGGGAGACCGUGCAGCACCUGCCUGACCGCGAGGGUUGGCAAGCCACCAUGACCUCUGUGCACAGCCGCCUCUCUGAAGCCUCCAGUGUCGGACUGGUAUGUCCCGCUCUUAUUACCUGUGGAGUUUUAUAUCAGACUUUUUCCUAAUGGCAUUGUGUGCAUUUUGUUGUGUGCUGCUUGAUUUGCCCAAUCCUGGGACUGGAGAAUAUGUCCGAUCAAAAUUAAGAUCAACAUGAUGUGGGUCUGCAAAGCGGGUACAAUCAUGUGGGAGAAGAGAGAGUGAGAGAAGAGAGAGUGAACAGAGCUGGUGGGUGGUGAUUUGGUAGGAGGCGGAGGAAUCGCUGCUGCAGAACGUGAACCUGCAGAUGGCGCGGGAGGAGUACGAGCUGAAUGGGCAGCAGGGCCUGGAUGAGCUGCUGUCUGUCUUCGC